UAGGGAAUCUUCCACAAUGGACGAAAGUCUGAUGGAGCAACGCCGCGUGAGUGAAGAAGGGUUUCGGCUCGUAAAACUCUGUUGUUAAAGAAGAACAUAUCUGAGAGUAACUGUUCAGGUAUUGACGGUAUUUAACCAGAAAGCCACGACUAACUACGUGCUAG
rnacentral:rRNA from 1 species